AACGAACGCUGGCGGCAGGCUUAACACAUGCAAGUCGAACGCCCCGCAAGGGGAGUGGCAGACGGGUGAGUAACGCGUGGGAAUCUACCCAUCCCUACGGAACAACUCCGGGAAACUGGAGCUAAUACCGUAUACGCCCUUUGGGGGAAAGAUUUAUCGGGGAUGGAUGAGCCCGCGUUGGAUUAGCUAGUUGGUGGGGUAAAGGCCUACCAAGGCGACGAUCCAUAGCUGGUCUGAGAGGAUGAUCAGCCACAUUGGGACUGAGACACGGCCCAAACUCCUACGGGAGGCAGCAGUGGGGAAUAUUGGACAAUGGGCGCAAGCCUGAUCCAGCCAUGCCGCGUGAGUGAUGAAGGCCUUAGGGUUGUAAAGCUCUUUCACCGAUGAAGAUAAUGACGGUAGUCGGAGAAGAAGCCCCGGCUAACUCCGUGCCAGCAGCCGCAGUAAAAC
rnacentral:rRNA from 1 species